rnacentral:rRNA from 1 species
ACGAAGGGGGCUAGCGUUGUUCGGAAUCACUGGGCGUAAAGCGCACGUAGGCGGACCAUUAAGUCAGGGGUGAAAGCCUGGAGCUCAACUCCAGAACUGCCUUUGAUACUGAUGGUCUCGAGUUCGGAAGAGGUUGGUGGAACUGCGAGUGUAGAGGUGAAAUUCGUAGAUAUUCGCAAGAACACCAGUGGCGAAGGCGGCCAACUGGUCCGAUACUGACGCUGAGGUGCGAAAGCGUGGGGAGCAAACAGGA